GCGGGGAAAGGCAUUGCCAUAAUUGAUGCAUUUGCUUGUCUUGUCAGGGGCGCAGAUGUGCGCCAAACUCAGUCAACCAUAGCCGAACUCCGGCGCGUGGGGAAAGCGGAAAUCAAAUGGACCCUUAUGUUCCGCGCUGUGCGUGACGCCCACUCAAAACACGCGUGUUGCUUACGGAAGCAGAAGCGUACAAGACUCACAUUUUGGCGUAGACUCUGCUGCGGCACAACCAAACAUCUUUAUUAACCCAACCGGUGUCCAGGAGGAACAGGCGUGUUCCUUAGAUGAGCUGGGUAGUCUUGGACUUGUCGCAGGUCACUGGCAGCAGAGAACUGGAAGGAAAGGCGGCCAAAGGAGGUGUUGGCUUUGGGGAUGACCAGUGAGAUAUACGAGGCGACUGUAGUGACUGCUGGACGCCUGUAGUGACUAGCAUUAUGGGAUGUGGCACCUCCGUCACCACCGACAACAAAGGGAGGAGACUGACGACAGACCAGAUGGCCAAGAAAACUCCCAGCCCUGCACUGGCUAUGAAGGCAGCCAUCCUGAUCCAGCGUUGGUACAGACGUUACAUCGCCAGGUUAGAGAUGAGACAGCGAUACACCUGGAACAUCUUCCAGUCUAUAGAGUAUGCUGGGGAGCAGGACCAGCUACAGCUCUCCAGUUUCUUCAGUUUCAUGCUGGACAACUUCACUCAACUCAACGGGAAUGGCCCAGGUUUUCCAGAAAUCCCGGUUGGAAGAUUCCAGGAAUCAGGAGGCAAUCUGAUCUCCCACCUGCUGGACCCAGUGGUUGACCCGUGGUCAGACAGAGAGAGACAGACCAUGUAUGAACAGAUCACUGUUCCUGAGUCCUACAGCGGUCCUCACCUCACCUUCCCCCUCACCGUCUCUCACACCAACGCCCUGCUUUCUGCAUUCAAAGAACAACGGCCUCUCCAUGGCAGAUACAUGCUGCAGUUGUUACACCAGACUAAGAAGCUCCUGAAACAGAUGCCAAACGUCAUUCACCUGUCCACACCCUACGCCAAGGAGAUCACAAUAUGUGGAGAUUUACAUGGCCGUCUUGAUGACUUGCUGCUCAUAUUCUACAAGAACGGCCUCCCCUCGGCAGAGACGCCGUACGUUUUCAACGGAGACUUCGUGGACCGAGGGAAGAAGUCUGUGGAGGUCAUCAUCCUGCUGUUUGCCUACCAGCUCCUCUACCCAGACCACAUGACCCUGAACAGAGGCAACCACGAGGACCACAUCAUGAACCUCCGAUAUGGAUUCACUAAAGAAGUUAUGCAGAAGUACAAGACACAUGGCAGGGACAUCCUACUGCUGGUCCAGGAUGUGUUCAGCCUCCUCCCCAUAGCAACAGUCAUCGAUAACAAGGUGCUCAUCGUCCAUGGAGGAAUAUCAGACAUGACGGACCUGGAUUUCCUCAGGUCUAUAGAGAGACACAAGGUGAAAUCUGCCCUGAGGCUUCCUAGGAGGAGUCUGAACCAUCUGGAGGUGACUAGGAGCAGUAGUCAGGGCCAGACAGAGUGCCCCCGGUGUAGGAGCAGGGGCCAGACUGAGAGCCCCCGGUGUAGGAGCAGGGGCCAGCCAGAGAGCCCCCGGUGUAGGAGCAGGGGCCAGACUGAGAGCCCCCGGUGUAGGAGCAGGGGCCAGCCAGAGAGCCCCCGGUGUAGGAGCAGGGGCCAGACAGAGAACUCCCGGUGUAGGAGCAGGGGCCAGCCAGAGAGCCCCAGGUGUAGGAGCAGGGGCCAGCCAGAGAGCCCCAGGUGUAGGAGCAGGGGCCAGGACCAUGGCAACACCCCCAAGAAGAGACGUCACCUCACCAGACAGGGCAGCUCCUCCUCUUCCUCCUCAUCCUCACUGUGCUCCCCCCGGGGGUCGUCCCGCCUCACUCUGUGCCGCUGCCUUUCUCCCAGCAUGCUGAGCCCCACCGACAACCUCCAGGUGCCCUUCCUGGACUCCUUCACCGCCCUCCCCGUCCGUCAGCCACCCAGGGAGGAGUUGGAGUGGAAACAGGUAGUAGAUUUGCUGUGGAGCGACCCGAAGAGCCAGCCAGGCUGCAGUCCCAACACCUUCAGGGGAGGAGGCAGUUACUUCGGGCCAGACGUGACCAGACGCCUGCUGGAGAGACACGGCAUGACUCUGCUGAUCAGAUCACAUGAGUGUAAACAGGAGGGCUACGAACUCUGCCACGACGGACAGUUUCAGGUGAUCACCAUUUUCUCUGCGUCUAACUACUAUGAGGAAGGUAGUAACCGUGGAGCCUACAUUAAACUGGGCAGAGAGCUGGUCCCUCGCUUCUUCCAGUACCAGGUCAGCAGGAAUACCAGGAAACUCACCCUGACUCAGAGGGUGAAUGUGGCAGAGGGUUCGGCUGUAAGGGCUGUACAGGAGAAGCUGUUUUCCCACCGCUCAGAACUCAUGGCUGCCUUUCAGCAGUAUGACACAAGUAACAGUGGCUGUAUCUCUGUCAGUGAGUGGGCCCUGGUGGUGGAGUCAGUUGUGAGACUGGACCUGCCCUGGAGGACUCUGCGCCCGCGCCUGGCACGGCUGGCACCAGAUGGCAGCAUCGACUACCAGUCCUGCUUCGAGGACAUGGGCCCGGAACAACCCAUACCCCAGGUCACUCCAAACUUGGCUAAAACUCUUUACAGGUAUCGAACAGACCUUGAGAUUAUCUUCAACAUCAUGGACAAAGACCACUCUGGUCAGAUAUCCAUUGAGGAGUUUCGUCAGACCUGGCAUCUGUUUAGUGCUCACCUAGGUGUGGAGGUGGAUGACCGGGCCAUAGAUGAACUGGCUAAGAGUAUAGACUUCAACAAGGAUGGUAGCAUCGACUUCAACGAGUUCCUAGAGGCCUUCAGGGUGGUGCACAAACUGGAUGUUAAGGACCAACAGCAGGGCUGAGAGAAACCUUGUUGUUUGUGCUGAAGACUCACAUUAGCUAGCCGGGCAAUGACUUGGCUUUAGCUCAGUGAGCCAACACUGGCAGCAGGGCUGAGAGAACUACAAAGAUCAGCUGCUAGGUUGAUAGAACUACAAAGACCAGCGGCUAGGCUGAGAGAACUACAAAGACCAGCGGCUAGGCUGAGAGAACUACAAAGACCAGCAGCUAGGCUGAGAGAACUACAAAGACCAGCGGCUAGGCUGAGAGAACUACAAAGACCAGCGGCUAGGCUGAGAGAACUACAAAGACCAGCGGCUAGGCUGAGAGAACUACAAAGACCAGCGGCUAGGCUGAGAGAACUACAAAGACCAGCGGCUAGGCUGAGAGAACUACAAAGACCAGCGGCUAGGCUGAGAGAACUACAAAGACCAGCGGCUAGGCUGAGAGAACUACAAAGACCAGCGGCUAGGUUGAUAGAAAUACAAAGACCAGUGGCUACAAAGACCAGCGGCUAGGCUGAGAGAACUACAAA